rnacentral:rRNA from 1 species
GAUGAACGCUGGCGGCGUGCCUAAUACAUGCAAGUCGAGCGAACGGACGAGAAGCUUGCUUCUCUGAUGUUAGCGGCGGACGGGUGAGUAACACGUGGAUAACCUACCUAUAAGACUGGGAUAACUUCGGGAAACCGGAGCUAAUACCGGAUAAUAUUUUGAACCGCAUGGUUCAAAAGUGAAAGACGGUCUUGCUGUCACUUAUAGAUGGAUCCGCGCUGCAUUAGCUAGUUGGUAAGGUAACGGCUUACCAAGGCAACGAUGCAUAGCCGACCUGAGAGGGUGAUCGGCCACACUGGAACUGAGACACGGUCCAGACUCCUACGGGAGGCAGCAGUAGGGAAUCUUCCGCAAUGGGCGAAAGACUGACGGAGCAACGCCGCGUGAGUGAUGAAGGUCCUCGGAUCGUAAAACUCUGUUAUUAGGGAAGAACAUAUGUGUAAGUAACUGUGCACAUCUUGACGGUACCUAAUCAGAAAGCCACGGCUAACUACGUG